AACAUCGCGCACCUGCGGGAACCUGCGGAGGGAUCAUUACAGAGAUUGAUGCACCAAGUGCAUCACCUCCAACCCCUUGCGAAAACAACUAUCAUGUGUUGCUUUGGCAGUGUUCCCACUGCCAGAGGUUUACAUAAAAUCAGCUGUUUGGAUGUUGUCUGAGUAAACUAUAUGAAUUAUUUAAAACUUUUAACAACGGAUCU
rnacentral:misc_RNA from 1 species